GAUGAACGCUGGCGGCGUGCCUAAUACAUGCAAGUAGAACGCUGAAGCUUGGUGCUUGCACCGAGCGGAGGAGUUGCGAACGGGUGAGUAACGCGUAGGUAACCUGCCUCUUAGCGGGGGAUAACUAUUGGAAACGAUAGCUAAUACCGCAUAAAAGUCGACAUUGCAUGAUGUUGACUUGAAAGGUGCAACUGCAUCACUAAGAGAUGGACCUGCGUUGUAUUAGCUAGUUGGUGAGGUAACGGCUCACCAAGGCGACGAUACAUAGCCGACCUGAGAGGGUGAUCGGCCACACUGGGACUGAGACACGGCCCAGACUCCUACGGGAGGCAGCAGUAGGGAAUCUUCGGCAAUGGGGGCAACCCUGACCGAGCAACGCCGCGUGAGUGAAGAAGGUUUUCGGAUCGUAAAGCUCUGUUGUAAGAGAAGAACGAGUGUGAGAGUGGAAAGUUCACACUGUGACGGUAACUUACCAGAAAGGGACGGCUAACUACGUGCCAGCAGCCGCGGUAAUACGUAGGUCCCGAGCGUUAUCCGGAUUUAUUGGGCGUAAAGCGAGCGCAGGCGGUUAGAUAAGUCUGAAGUUAAAGGCUGUGGCUUAACCAUAGUACGCUUUGGAAACUGUUUAACUUGAGUGCAGAAGGGGAGAGUGGAAUUCCAUGUGUAGCGGUGAAAUGCGUAGAUAUAUGGAGGAACACCGGUGGCGAAAGCGGCUCUCUGGUCUGUAACUGACGCUGAGGCUCGAAAGCGUGGGGAGCAAACAGG
rnacentral:rRNA from 1 species